rnacentral:rRNA from 1 species
UACGGAGGGGGCUAGCGUUGUUCGGAAUUACUGGGCGUAAAGCGCACGUAGGCGGCGGCAUAAGCGGAAUGUGAAAGCCCAGGGCUCAACCCUGGAAGUGCAUCCCGAACUGUGUCGCUUGAAUCUCGGAGGGGGACAGAGAAUUCCCGGUGUAGAGGUGAAAUUCGUAGAUAUCGGGAGGAAUACCAGUGGCGAAGGCGCUGUCCUGGACGAAGAUUGACGCUGAGGUGCGAAAGCGCGGGGAGCAAACAGG